CCCUCCGUAGGUGAACCUGCGGAGGGAUCAUUACACAAAUAUGAAGGCGGGCUGGAACCUCUCGGGGUUACAGCCUUGCUGAAUUAUUCACCCUUGUCUUUUGCGUACUUCUUGUUUCCUUGGUGGGUUCGCCCACCACUAGGACAAACAUAAACCUUUUGUAAUUGCAAUCAGCGUCAGUAACAAAUUAAUAAUUACAACUUUCAACAACGGAUCUCUUGGUUCUGGCAUCGAUGAAGAACGCAGCGAAAUGCGAUAAGUAGUGUGAAUUGCAGAAUUCAGUGAAUCAUCGAAUCUUUGAACGCACAUUGCGCCCUUUGGUAUUCCAAAGGGCAUGCCUGUUCGAGCGUCAUUUGUACCCUCAAGCUUUGCUUGGUGUUGGGCGUCUUGUCUCUAGCUUUGCUGGAGACUCGCCUUAAAGUAAUUGGCAGCCGGCCUACUGGUUUCGGAGCGCAGCACAAGUCGCACUCUCUAUCAGCAAAGGUCUAGCAUCCAUUAAGCCUUUUUUUCAACUUUUGACCUCGGAUCAGGUAGGGAUACCCGCUGAACUUAAGCAUAUCAAUAAGCGGAGGAA
rnacentral:rRNA from 1 species